GGGCGCCGCCCGGUCCCGAGCCGCACCCCCUGCCCGCGAAGGGAGCGGGCGAGGGCCCGGAACCCUAAGCCGCCUUCCUGCCCGGGACCGGCCGCCGCCGCCAGGGGGCAGCCUCCGCCCAGCGAGCCGGUGCGGCAGGUGCUCCAGGCUCGGCGUUUGAAUCCACGGGUCGGUUGGGGAUGCUCGGACUUGGCGCUCCCCGGCCAACGGGCAUGCGGUGACCGUGACCGAUACUAGCUGCCCUAGGCAGGCUCUGCAGCCUGCAGGCACAGGCUUGGCAAGAGAGCCGGGGAAAUCCCGUAAGCUUUGCCGGGGGAGGAGUUUGGAGCUGUAAGUAACCCUCUGCCUGCCCCCUGACUUUCAAGCCUUUCCUUUCCUGCGCCCCCACCCUCCCUGCACCCCGGCCCUGGUCUCCUGACCCCUCCUUUUCAAGGGGCCGGCAGCACUCAAGAAGCAGGAACUGCAUGCCCCCCCACCAUUGUCCUGGACCAUCUACAGUACACGACCGCUCCCCAAACCCACUCUCCAGCUUUCUACCCUGUGUCUGCUGUCCAUUCCUGUCACAGCCUGAAAUCUGCAGAGGAAGCAGCUUCUGGAGGAAAUGAAAAUUUGCAGCAGCUCCUUCUAGGCUGUGAAGCCCCUGGGGAAGGAGGAGAGGGAAUCCCAGCAGGGCAGGUGAAGGCAGAAGCUCUCUUUAUUCUGGGGCCUCCAGAGCCUGCCAGGGGCCCAGCUGGAACGGAAUAUUCAUUCACCGAGCUGGCUGACCAGACUGUCUUAGAAUGAGCAAGAACGGGCAGAGGCUGAAGCACAACAUUGGCUCCUAGUGUCCAGAAAGACAUGCACGGAAAGAACGCCAGAGUUAGCUAAAGAAAUACCACAGUUUAUUGAAGACUACAAAUAUUUUGUUACAAGUUGAAACUACAUGCCUUCCAGAAUCAAAAGCAACAGCAGGUGUGUGCAUUGAUGCUUCGGAGGUGCUGCACCGCUUGAACUCGAAAUGGACGAAUGCCAUCCACCUUCUACCUGAAGUUGUAGCAACUGAGCUCCGAGUCGAGGCUGUUACAGUGGAAUUGCUGCUGAGGCUGAGGCCCAAGCUGCUGCCGCUGUUGAGACUGGAAGAGACACUGACCACUGGGGGAGGCGCAGAAACCGUGCUGGAUGUGGUGGAAAAAGUGCUGGAGGAAGAAUGGAGGUUCGCCUCACUGUCCACGCUUGUGUGCUUAAAAAGGGGGAGCAGUGGAAGACAGGAGGAGGAAACAGUGAUUAGCAAAACAGGUCAGAAGAGAUGCACACUCCCUUCUGUUGGUGAGAGCGUAUCAGCUUUCCAAUUUAAAAAGCUGAGGCAGAGUACAGGGUGCCCUCUGCCAAAGGAAUUAGAAGAAAUUACAAAUUAUCCUCCAGCUACCCAUUCCCCAAGACUCAUCAAGGAGAAUAUUUAUAUUUAAGGAAAAAGACUUUUCAGGAAGCCUCAGCACUAUCUUCCCCUUGGUUUCUGGCAAACCAGACACCUUUGCCCAGAAUGAGUCUUCCUUACCAUCUCAGCCUAAUUCCACAAAUGGUUGUUCCAAAUCACAAUAGCGAAAUUAAUUAUUUGGUCAAAAGCUUUCAUCUGGCCUGCACUUUCAAAGGAUGCUCAGACUCACACAUGACUUUUAGUAGCCAUGUUCAGCAUACUCAGACCAAGGAAUGAGAAUGCUGUAGCAGUGAGAAAGGGGCGUCCCUACAGCAUUUACCAGAGCACACAAAGCCCUACCCACUUCAGUGUUGAGAAGAAUAGCAAAGAAAAAGUCACAUAAAGACUCAAGAGUCACAUCCAGGGUGUGGAGAACUGGCUCACAGCUCUCUAGUAUUUCUUGAUUCUCCUGCCUCCCAACAUCCUUUUAUUCCAUUCCCGCAACCUGAGAUCAAUGAUCAUUUUGCCACCUCGUGAAGAGAUUUCCAAGAAUCAUUUCUUCAGAAGUCUUAGAAUUGGAGAGUUCUAAGUGCAAGAAAACCACAUGUUCUCUUUUGCAGCAUCACACUUACCAAAAGAGUGGAUGUAGAAGUGCGCCCCGAAGAUGUGGAUGACGAAAGGGUAUUCUGCUGUGUGGAUAAUGUGCUGCAAAGAAGAGGUUGCCAUCAGCCACAGUGCUAUGAUUAUUUGACUGGGAGCUUCUGUCAGGAACACAGACGAGGAGAUAAGGCAGAAUAAGGGACCAAAGAAGCCUGAGAUCGUGGGUAGCACUGUGGCCAGCCAAAGGUGGGCAGCAGACAGAACGAGAGUGGCUGCUGAGAAAGGAGGACAGGCCUCCUCUGCUUCUGCUUCCCACAGCUUUCAAGUCGUCCACCUCACUAAUGUGGCCCCCACCAGGCAGCAAGGGCAGGACCGAGGCAGGGAGCCAAUACCACCCUUCCCAACCCCAGCGUCCAGCCGUAACCCAAAUCACCUGCUGUGUUGUGUGGUGGUAGUAUUUGGACUCUCCUCACCGUGGCUCAAGCCACCCAACGAUGAUGAAUGUUGACCGGCUGUUGUCAGUAAGGAAGCUGCAGACACGGUUUCACUGAGAGGGGGGAUGCCAGGAGCAGAAGAUGACACCCAUCUCAAAAAUUCAAAUACCUUUGAAGUCAAGGAGGCCUUUUUCUUCUGCUGUUUCAAUUUUUGCUGAGCCGGCUGUGGACUGGAGGACUGGUUGUCUGAAGACCCGGGAGACAUCUGUGGGGCCGAGGUGGAUUUGCUUGGCAGAGGAGAAGAGGGGGGUGGAGGUGCAGCUGUGGAGGUAGCCACUGCGGAUGGCUUCUCCUGAAGGAACACCUCCAUCAUGGUUGAAGAUGGGGUGAAAGCCUGGCGUUUGGUGAAGGGGCUGUGCACUGUUGAAUCAUUUGGGUUCUUCAAAUCUGCAUGAAGAAACCCAGUAUGUGUAAGGCCAGAGAUGCUAAUAAACCUCAAUAAAAUGCUAUUAUCCUGCUCUAGAGCUACAAAA